CCCUACGGGGCGCAGCAGUGAGGAAUAUUGGUCAAUGGGCGCGAGCCUGAACCAGCCAAGUCGCGUGAGGGAAGACGGUCCUAUGGAUUGUAAACCUCUUUUGUCGGGGAGCAAAAGACGCCACGUGUGGCGUUCCGAGAGUACCCGAAGAAAAAGCAUCGGCUAACUCCGUGCCAGCAGCCGCGGUAAUACGGAGGAUGCGAGCGUUAUCCGGAUUUAUUGGGUUUAAAGGGUGCGCAGGCGGAAGAUCAAGUCAGCGGUAAAAUUGAGAGGCUCAACCUCCUCGAGCCGUUGAAACUGGUUUU
rnacentral:rRNA from 1 species